GCGGGUAUAGUUUAGUGGUAGAACAUCUGCCUUCCAAGCAGAGGAUGGGAGUUCGAUUCCCCCUACCCGCACCA
rnacentral:tRNA from 1 species